UCCAACUUCGGGUAAGCAGGAAUUUCAGCUUGGAAUUAAAUCUUGCGAGAAUUCGACUAUUAUAGCUUAUAAUCGACAAUAUUGAUGCCGUUUCGGUAUUGUUCGCAGCGAGAGGGUAUUUGACCCUUGGACCGUCUUCGACUGGCCUUGGAGGACCUUUUGGAAGCUUAACGUGAGGUAUUGAACUAAGCCAAAACAGGGAUUUAAG
rnacentral:lncRNA from 1 species